AUGUGGAGUGACUGGGCAUUGGAAAAGCAAGCAGCAAAACUAUACAACAGGGGCAUAUUCUACAAAUUUCAGCAAGAGUUGAUGAAUUCAACAAAGUUUCAUAUGAUGGAAAUGGAAAAAAAGUAUGAGGUGUACAAGUCACCGACUCAAGCACUGUUUGACUAUAACCCAAGAACAUUCAUAGUGGUUGUUGACACACAUUCUGAAACUAUCUCAUGUGUAUGUGGGAAAUUUGAGAAGGAUGGUAUUCUGUGUUGUCAUGCACUCAAAGUCAUACAAGCAUUGAACAUUGAUGAGUUACCAGAAAAGUACUUCAUUGAUAGAUGGAGACCUAAGGAAAAAAGAGCAUUUCAAGCUAAUGAAGAAGAUGCAAACCUUGAAGAUUUGGAUGAGCAAAUGGCAUUCUUCUCAUUUUCAAGAAGACUAGUUCAGCUUGCUUCUGAGGCAUCGAAGAAUCCUGCAAGGAGGAAAGUGUUAAACAAGCAGAUAGGGAAUCUGGAGAGGUUAAUUUUAGACAUACCUUGCAUGCCAGAAUUGGAACAAUCAAAAUGUUCUGCUUCAGAUUUAAGUGCUGUCACAGGGGGGCUCUUGACUUCAGACAGCAAGGGUGAGAACACUAUAAAUGAUCCAAUAUACAGCAAACCGAAAGGGAGAAUGAAGAAAACAGGGAGGCAGAAAAGUAUACUAGAAGAAAUCAUAUCAAGGCCUAAAGUGACUUGUUCGGGGUGCAACAAACAAGGACACAACAUUACAGGGUGCAAGCAAAUACAACAAGAAUCGCCAGCAAAACCUAAAAAAUCAGCCAGCAGAAAGAAUGCAAAGCAACAUAGAGAGAAGACAGCAAAACAAAAAUAG
rnacentral:rRNA from 1 species